rnacentral:rRNA from 1 species
UACAGAGGGGGCAAGCGUUAUUCGGAAUUAUUGGGCGUAAAGGGCGCGUAGGCGGCCUGACAAGUGGAAGGUGAAAUCCCUCGGCUUAACCGAGGAACUGCCCUCCAAACUGUUUGGCUUGAGUCCGGGAGAGGUGAGUGGAAUUCCCAGUGUAGCGGUGAAAUGCGUAGAUAUUGGGAGGAACACCAGUGGCGAAGGCGGCUCACUGGACCGGAACUGACGCUGAGGCGCGAAAGCUAGGGGAGCGAACGGG